GAUUACCAGAUCUCUCCAACUUGAGAAACUUGAAGCAUUUAAAUGCUCGCAAGUGCAAAAAACUAAUGGAGAUUCAAGGCCUCAAUCUAUUGGAAUCCUUGGAGAUAUUGGAUUUGGGGUGGUGCUCGUCUAUGGAAAGAUUACCAGAUCUCUCCAACUUGAGAAACUUGAAGCAUUUAAAUGCUUGCGAGUGCAUAAAACUAACGGAGAUUCAAGGCCUCGAUAGAUUGGAAUCCUUGGAGAUAUUGGAGAUAUGGGGUGGUGCUUGUUUAUUGAAAGAUUACCAGAUCUCUCCAACUUGAGAAACUUGAAGCAUUUAAUGCUGAGUGCAAAAAACUAAUGGAGAUUCAAGGCCUCGAUCGAUUGGAAUCCUUGGAGAUAUUGGAUUUGGGGUGGUGCUCGUCUAUGGAAAGAUUACCAGAUCUCUCCAACUUGAGAAACUUGAAGCAUUUAAAUUUCCUUGUAUGCUCUCAUUGGUAUACUACUUUUAAAUUUGACACAAGACCGAGCUAGAAAAUUUCCUAUAUCCGACGGUCAAAUUUGCCAUAUCAUUAUUCCAAGUGGUGAAAUAGGCCAUGAUUACAAACUCCCUAUAUGUGAAACUUAUCAGCUGCUAGAAGCAUGCCUAGAGUUCGAGGCAGCCAUCUAGGCAAACCACCUAGUAAGCCUUAUUGAAUAGAAGUUCUAUUACAAAACUAUUGUAGGCAGAAUUAGAGUUCACUCCAUAUGAAGAUUCAUAACAGAGUUGUUUAUUUGUUUAUUUUUUUAUGGAUUUAUAAUGCUUCUAUUUUUUUUUUUUUUUUGUGUUCUCUUUGUACCUGAAUGACUCAUUGUUGGUUACUGACUGCUUGUGUGGGUAUUGUAGAGUCUUUUUGGGAUGGGUUUGAUGUUGAAAAAGGGACUAGAUAUGAAAGACUUCAACCUGAAUUUGAUAUUAUAUAUUUUGUGAAUGUGAAAUGUGAUAUGUAAGUUUAUAUUUUGAGCAAAUUUUGUUCUUGUAUUUUGUUUUUGUGGUAGAAGGUAGAGACAGAUUUCUCUUUUGCUGUUUGUAGGACUUGAACCCACUAUAUUUGGUAUGCAAGCUACAUGCUCUACCUGGUUAAAAAGGCAAAGAAGCUGUUUUUGUGUCCUAUCAUGCAACAUGGAGUAUGGAUUCUUAGUACGGGUCAGAUAUGGUUCUACUUCUGGAUUCAAGCUGGAUCCAUGUGAGAAUACAGUUUAGUACCUGAAAAUUUAGUUCUGGAAGUGACACAUCCAAGCUUUUACAGAUUCUGAUCGUGGAUACCCAGACAGAGAGGAAAUGUUUCAGUGGAGGGAGCAGUGCUAAAUGAAUUUGACAUGAAGCCCCCUAACGAAGACAUCGGAGACAAGUGCAGGAUGAGAAGAAAACCGCACCAGUGAAAGGAUCAGAGAAGAAAAGAACAAGAGACCGUGGAGAAAUGGAAGAGAAUAUGUUCAAGCUAUUUGAGAGGCAAUCAAAUUGGACACUGAGGCAAUUAAUCCAGGAGACAGACCAGCCUGAAAAGGCCAUCAUGUGGAAUAUCUGGAGGGAAAGAAAAAUCAGAGUUCUGAAGGCUUUGCAGAAUUAGCAUAUCCUAUACACACACAGCAAUUUGUGAAAGAUCCUCUCAAAGACCUUGUGUCUACAACAAGAAGGGAACACUGGGGUGAGGACUGUUAAAUAUUCUUGUUCCUUAACUAACCCGGAAAGGUUUUAGAGUUUUCACAUUUCGAGCAAAGCCUGUCGUCAUUCAGAUGAACUCAAAAUUUGUCUCCACUUUGGUAACUGACAAUUUGUCUCAACUUUGGUAACUGACAUCAAGAAAGGGAAAAUCUUAAUGUGACUGCUUUACAUAGUGAGCAGAAACAAGGUAAGGUCUACAAUUCAGUCUACUCUCCUGGUGCUGGGACACCUUGCUUCAGCCUCUCCCUCUUCAUCUUCUUCUUAGAGACGGGAUUCUUUUUCCUUGGUGGAAGAGUCUUCCGAGCAUGUGUAAAGGACAUAAUUUCUAACGAGAGGAAGACUAGUAAAAUUCCAACAACAAGAAGCAGAACUA